rnacentral:rRNA from 1 species
UACGAAGGGGGCUAGCGUUGUUCGGAAUUACUGGGCGUAAAGCGCGCGUAGGCGGUGAUCUUUGUCAGAGGUGAAAGCCCGGGGCUCAACUCCGGAAUUGCCUUUGAAACGGGAUCGCUAGAGUCCGAGAGAGGAUGGCGGAAUUCCUAGUGUAGAGGUGAAAUUCGUAGAUAUUCGGAAGAACACCAGUGGCGAAGGCGGCUCACUGGACUGGUAUUGACGCUGAGGUGCGAAAGCGUGGGGAGCAAACAGG